GGAGCAAUGAGUCUGAGGUGGAGGCUAGAGGUGGAAAGCAGCUGAGUGCCCAGGGAGAUGGUUUGAUGGUAUCCUGCUGUAGGGAGGCCAGUCCCAGAUCUGGGUGUGGAAGAACUUGCAUGCUAAUUAAACCUGUACUACUAUAGCUGAUCUGAGCCAGAUGAAAUCAAAGCCUUGAAUCUAUACAUCUUAAAUUUGAAUGGCUUCAAUUCUCAUGGACUAGAUCAAUUUGAAGGCUUCAGAAACCAGCUGCAGCUCCUUGGAAGCUAUAAAAGACCCUGUGCUACCAUAUUGCAAUGCUACAGCUACAGGGAGAAGCAGGCAAACCUUUUGUGAAUGAAGGAAACCUGAGCAAGGUGAAGGCAUUAAGUACACCCAUGCAUUCUGCAUGUGCUCAGAGGACUUUGUGUAGCCAUGCCACAUGUGGCCUGAAUCCCUAUACGGACAGUAAAUCAACUGCUACAUUUUGGGAAAAAGGAUAUGUUCAUGUAUAUAAAAUUGUGGCUGAAAAUCAACACAGAGAAGACAAAGAUGCAGACUGGAGAAGAGGAAUGCAUCGAAAACCAGACCGUGACUAUCACAUUCCCUGAAGAGGCUGCAUUAUGUAUUUUCUUGGAUACCUCAUGGCAAAUGUGACUUCAUGGCUGCUCUCAGACACCACAGCUGGAAAAAAACUCUCUUAGGCAACUCUUCUAGCCUAGCCUGCCAAGAGAAUGAAUGAAAAGCUUUCCUGCCACCAUAGGUAGGCAAGGUUUUUUGCCUUCCUGCCAUACUUUUAUAGAUAGCAUGUAUGUGUGUUUGUCAGCCUGGAAGCAUGUCUCUUCUUGGCAGCUGCUUCUUUUCAUUGUCAGGUAUGUUCAGAUAUAGCUUAUGUGACUAAUGCAAUGCACUAAGACUAGGAAUUGAAUGGCCUGCCUAAAGAGAAAGGUAAGUGCAGUUCCUUCAGCUGAAAAAAAAUAA